rnacentral:rRNA from 1 species
UAGUACGGCGAGUGAGCGGCAAGAGCUCAAAUUUGAAAGCUGGCUCCUUCGGGGUCCGCAUUGUAAUUUGCAGAGGAUGCUUCGGGAACGGCCCCCAUCUAAGUGCCCUGGAACGGGCCGUCAUAGAGGGUGAGAAUCCCGUCUGGGAUGGGGUGUCCGCGCCCUGAAGCUCCUUCGACGAGUUGUUUGGGAAUGCAGCUCUAAUUGGGUGGUAAAUUUCAUCUAAAGCUAAAUAUUGGCCGGCGAUAGCGCACAAGUAGAGUGAUCGAAAGAUGAAAAGCACUUUGAAAAGAGAGUUAAACAGCACGUGAAAUUGUUGAAAGGGAAGCGCUUGCGACCAGACUCGCCCGCGGGGUUCAGCCGGCAUUCGUGCCGGUGUACU